UUUCCGUAGGUGAACCUGCGGAAGGAUCAUUAAUACGUUUGUAACAAAACGUCUAAACCCAAUGAAUCGUGAACUAGUGUUUUACGGGUUCGCAUUUGUGAGACCUCUCGGGGUCUGGAGCUUUUUGGGCCUUCAUGGUUCAAACAUCUCAGUGUAGAGCAGUGAGAUGACAUCACAGCAAUGUGUGUGGUUCUGAAAUACAAAUGCUUAUCCGGUUAAUUCUUGCUCUACAUUUUUUCAAAUCAAACUCUAUGUACAACAACUUGAACUAACAACCUUUUUUUGUCCUGGAGCAAUCCGAGAGAAGAAAAAAUAACCGAAAUUAAGAACAACUCUUAACAACGGAUAUCUUGGUUCUC
rnacentral:misc_RNA from 1 species